UAGCUCUGGUUUUUCUUCAGUCACGUGUAAAUCUUUUGCCUUUUAUUAAAGAUUUCCAUGGAGAGGAAAGUCAAUGAGUUUGAUGUAUUUUUGUGUGUGUUGUUCUGGCAAAGCU